UACGUAGGGGGCGAGCGUUGUCCCGGAUUUAUUGGGCGUAAAGAGCUCGUAGGCGGCUGUUCAAGUCGAACGUGAAAACUCGGAGCUCAACUCCGAGCCUGCGUUCGAUACUGGACGGCUAGAGUCUGGUAGGGGGACCUGGAAUUCCUGGUGUAGCGGUGGAAUGCGCAGAUAUCAGGAGGAACACCGGUGGCGAAGGCGGGGUCCUGGGCCAGUACUGACGCUGAGGAGCGAAAGCGUGGGGAGCAAACAGGG
rnacentral:rRNA from 1 species